UACGUAGGGCGCGAGCGUUGUCCGGAAUCACUGGGCGUAAAGGGCGCGUAGGCGGGAUGGCAAGUCGGUCGUGAAAUCCUUCGGCUCAACCGAAGAACGUCGGCCGAUACUGCCGUUCUUGAGGGAUGCAGAGGAGAUUGGAAUUCCCGGUGUAGCGGUGAAAUGCGUAGAUAUCGUGAGGAAGACCAGUGGCGAAGGCGGAUCUCUGGACAGUUCCUGACGCUGAGGCACGAAGGCCAGGGGAGCAAACGGG
rnacentral:rRNA from 1 species